rnacentral:rRNA from 1 species
GAUGAACGCUGGCGGCGUGCCUAAUACAUGCAAGUCGAGCGAACAGACGAGGAGCUUGCUCCUCUGACGUUAGCGGCGGACAGGUGAGUAAUAAGUGGAUAACCUCCCUAUAAGACUGGGAUAACUUCGGGAUACCGGAGCUACUACCGGAUAAUAUAUUGAACCGCAUGGUUCAAUAGUGAAAGACGGUUUUGCUGUCACUUAUAGAUGGAUCCGCGCCGCAUUAGCUAGUUGGUAAGGUAACGGCUUACCAAGGCAACGAUGCGUAGCCGACCUGAGAGGGUGAUCGGCCACACUGGAACUGAGACACGGUCGAGACUCCUACGGGAGGCAGCAGUAGGGAAUCUUCCGCAAUGGGCGAAAGCCUGACGGAGCAACGCCGCGUGAGUGAUGAAGGUCUUCGGAUCGUAAAACUCUGUUAUUAGGGAAGAACAAAGGUGUAAGUAACUAUGCACGUCUUGACGGUACCUAAUCAGAAAGCCACGGCUAACUACGUG